UACGUAGGGCGCAAGCGUUAUCCGGAAUUAUUGGGCGUAAAGAGCUCGUAGGCGGUUUGUCGCGUCUGCUGUGAAAGACCGGGGCUCAACUCCGGUUCUGCAGUGGGUACGGGCAGACUAGAGUGCAGUAGGGGAGACUGGAAUUCCUGGUGUAGCGGUGGAAUGCGCAGAUAUCAGGAGGAACACCGGUGGCGAAGGCGGUUCUCUGGGCAUUACCUGACGCUGAGGAGCGAAAGCAUGGGGAGCGAACAGG
rnacentral:rRNA from 1 species